rnacentral:lncRNA from 1 species
GGGCUAGUCCAGGCAUGGUGGCUCACGCCUGUAAUCCCAGCACUUUGGGAGGCCGAGGCGGGCAGAUCAUGAGGUCAGGAGAUCAAGACCAUCGUGGCUAACACGGUGAAACCCGGUCUCUACUAAAAAUACAAAAAAUUAGCUGGGCAUGGUGGUGGGCACCUGUAGUCCCAGCUACUCGGGAGGCUGAGGUAGGAGAAUGGCGUGAACCUGGGAGGCAGAUAUUGCAGUGAGCCAAGAUCGUGCCACUGCACUCCAGCCUGGGCGACAGAGCGAGACUCUGUCUCAAAAAAAAAAAAAAAAAAAAAAAAAAGAACUUAGAAAAAUCUAAACAUUUUCUUAAGCAAUUAUAACAAAAGCAGAGAGACAUUGCUGUCUUAGCCAGUCAAAUGCCCUUUUUCCUUCUUUUCUUUCUUUUUUUGAAAUUUGAAAAAAAGAAACAAAACACUCUUUAAUGUAACUACCCCUCUCCCUCUUGGUUUAUUAUUUCUAAGGCUCACAUAUGCCAACUAUUGGUUUGACCCAAGAAACUUUGAAAAUACACAUUCUGCAUACUUCUGCACAUUGCAGACGACUCUAUACCGCUUGCAUAGCCCCACACCCCUGUCAAAGGCAGGAGGAGGAUGCUUAAAGCUGCCACUGGAGACGGAUACAGCACGUGGUUGUUCUGGAAAAGUCCCUUUCAGCAUACCUUGAACAUCACCAAGAGGCAGCCCUCCACCUACCUCCUCCGACCUCCCACUCCUUCUCUUCUAGAAUACCCUGUUUGUCCUUCUUCAACACCUUCGACUCUUUCCAGGCAGGUAUCAAUGUGCCCUCCCUG